rfam:Spiroplasma poulsonii strain MSRO contig_06, whole genome shotgun sequence.
UAACAGAACUAGUUGCUAUUAACAACAGUUAAUAGAGGAAACUCCACGCUCGCACAAUCUGCGAUGAUUGUAGUGUUUGUGCUAAUUUAAUUCAUAAGAUUAGGCAUAAGGGAUCCUUAUGACGGCUGAAAAAAAUCCUAAGUUAUUAUUAAUAUGGAAUUUUUUCUAUAAAAGUGCCACAGAAACGAGUUUUUAAAGAAAUUUAAAAAAUGGAACGGGUAAACCCCACAAGCGAGAAACCUAAAUUUUGGUAAGGGAACUUCUUUUUUUCAAAACAGAAGAAAAUAAGAAGAUCAAUUUUAAAAAAUUGAUAGAUAAAUAACUAGUAUUUUAUUUUAUAAAAUAAAAAAACAGAACGUGGGUUAUGAUG